GCCUACGGGGGGCAGCAGUGAGGAAUAUUGGUCAAUGGGAGAGAUCCUGAACCAGCCAAGCCGCGUGAGGGAAGACGGCCCUAUGGGUUGUAAACCUCUUUUGUCGGAGAACAAAACCCGGGACGUGUCCCGGACUGCGUGUAUCCGAAGAAAAAGCAUCGGCUAACUCCGUGCCAGCAGCCGCGGGAAUACGGAGGAUGCGAGCGUUAUCCGGAUUUAUUGGGUUUAAAGGGUGCGUAGGCGGUCCGUUGAGGCAGCGGUAAGAUUGCGGAGCUCAACCCGGUCGCGC
rnacentral:rRNA from 1 species